rnacentral:rRNA from 1 species
CCUACGGGGGGCUGCAGUGAGGAAUAUUGGUCAAUGGACGCAAGUCUGAACCAGCCAUGCCGCGUGAAGGAUGAAGGCGUUCUGCGUUGUAAACUUCUUUUAUCUGGGAAGAAACCUACUUUUUCUAAAGUAGCCGACGGUACCAGAGGAAUAAGCACCGGCUAACUCCGUGCCAGCAGCCGCGGUAAUACGGAGGGUGCAAGCGUUAUCCGGAUUCACUGGGUUUAAAGGGUGUGUAGGCGGGUAUUUAAGUCAGUGGUGAAAUCUCCGAGCUCAACUCGGAAACUGCCAUUGAUACUAUUUAUCUUGAAUAUUGUUGAGGUAGGCGGAAUAUGUCAUGUAGCGGUGAAAUGCUUAGAUAUGACAUAGAACACCGAUUGCGAAGGCAGCUUGCUAAACUGUUAUUGACGCUGAGGCACGAAAGCGUGGGGAUCAAACAGGAUUAGAUACCCGGGUAGUC